rnacentral:rRNA from 1 species
GAUGAACGCUGGCGGCGUGCCUAAUACAUGCAAGUCGAGCGAACAGACGAGGAGCUUGCUCCUCUGACGUUAGCGGCGGACGGGUGAGUAAACCUUGGGUACCCUCCCUAUAAAACUGGGAUAACUUCGGGAAACCGGAUCUAAUCCCGAAUAAUAUAUUAAACCGCAUGGUUCAAUAGUGAAAGCCGGUUUUGCUUUUACUAUCAAUUGAACCCCCGCCGCACAAGCUAGUUGUUAAGGUAACGGCUUACCAAGGCGACGAUGCGUAGCCCACCUGAGAGGGUGAUCGGCCACACUGGAACUGAGACACGGUCCAGACUCCUACGGGAGGCAGCAGUAGGGAAUCUUCCGCAAUGGGCGAAAGCCUGACGGAGCAACGCCGCGUGAGUGAUGAAGGUCUUCGGAUCGUAAAACUCUGUUAUUAGGGAAGAACAAAUGUGUAAGUAACUAUGCACGUCUUGACGGUACCUAAUCAGAAAGCCACGGCUAACUACGUG